GUUCCGUUUCUCUCCCACCUUUCCUCGUAAAUUCCCUUCUCUGUGGUUUUUUGUCCAUAGCAGUACACGAGCAGCACAACAAUGUCAAUAUCUGUGCCGGCGGCGCUGCUUCCGACUAUCGUUGCUAAGACGUCGCCGUUUUCUUCGUCAACGGAUUCCAGGCUUGUUCAUUUCUCGUCUCUUAAAUUCCCCACGAAUCUCCGCAUUUCUGGAAAUCGGAAUCGCUGCCUCAAAUCUAAGCCGCGCUACAGAACACUAACGCUGGUUGCAUCAAAGAAGCAGACAUUUUCUUCCUUUGAUGAUUUAUUGGAGAAAUCUGAUAAACCAGUAUUAGUUGACUUCUAUGCCACUUGGUGUGGUCCUUGCCAAUUCAUGGUUCCAAUUCUGGAACAAGUUAGUGCUUUAAUUGGGGAUAAGAUCAAGGUAGUGAAACUUGACACAGAGAAGUAUCCCACCAUUGCAAAUAAGUACAGCAUUGAAGCAUUGCCAACAUUCAUUUUGUUCAAAGAUGGGAAACCAUUUGAUCGUUUUGAAGGUGCAAUGAAUGCUGACCAGCUCAUCCAACGUAUUGAGACUUCGCUUCAAGUUAAGAAAUAACCUCUGUCAAUGUAUCUAAUGCUAUGUAAAAAUUGGAAAAGGCAUAAAGGAUGAUGCUAAUCAUCUUGUUUGACUGCCUGCCUUAAUGUGGAUCAGUUAAGGUGUCCAUGUCAGCUUUUACAUUCUUGGAUUCAAAGGUCGUCCCACUCAACCUUGGAAGCAACCCUAAUUCUUCCAAAACAGUCAAUGAUGAUACUUCAUUGCCACUAAUGACAAAAGGAAUAUAUUAUGGGCUACUGUUGACAGUCAGUUGCUUAUCCAUAUCCACUUAUUUUAUUUGCCUUAAAACUGCUUGGUGCCAUAAUGUUAGAUCCCUUUGUGUGUCUAUUUAGAAAUGUUGUGUUUGUCGUGUGAUGAUGUU